rnacentral:rRNA from 1 species
AACAAACGCUGGCGGCGUGCCUAAUACAUGCAAGUCGAACGAGGAGGCACCUUCGGGUGUAGUACUAGUGGCGCACGGGAGAGGAACACGUGGGUAAUCUGCCCUAGAGCGGGGAACAACCAGUCGAAAGAUUGGCUAAUACCCCAUAAGACCACACUAUCUAAUGAUAGAGAGGUAAAAGAUUUAUCGCUUUAGGAUGAGCCCGCGCCCCAUUAGCUUGAUGGUAGGGUAACGGCCUACCAUGGCUACGAUGGGUAACUGGUCUGAGAGGAUGAUCAGUCUCACUGGAACUGAGACACGGUCCAGACUUCUACGGAAGGCAGCAGUAGGGAAUAUUGCACAAUGGAGGAAACUCUGAUGCAGCGACGCCGCGUGAGUGAUGACGGUCUUCGGAUUGUAAAGCUCUGUUCUUAGGGAAUAAGAAAGUGAAUGUACCUAAGAAGAAAGCACCGGCUAACUUCG